GACGAACGCUGGCGGCGUGCUUAACACAUGCAAGUCGAACGGAAAGGCCCUGCUUGCAGGGUACUCGAGUGGCGAACGGGUGAGUAACACGUGGGUGAUCUGCCCUGCACUUCGGGAUAAGCCUGGGAAACUGGGUCUAAUACCGGAUAGGAGCCAUUUUUAGUGUGAUGGUUGGAAAGUUUUUUCGGUGUAGGAUGAGCUCGCGGCCUAUCAGCUUGUUGGUGGGGUAAUGGCCUACCAAGGCGGCGACGGGUAGCCGGCCUGCGAGGGUGGACGGCCACAUUGGGACUGAGAGACGGCCCAGACGCCUACGGGAGGCAGCAGUGGGGAAUAUUGCACAAUGGGCGCAAGCCUGAUGCAGCGACGCCGCGUGGGGGAUGACGGCCUUCGGGUUGUAAACUCCUUUCGCUAGGGACGAAGCUUUUUGUGACGGUACCUAGAUAAGAAGCACCGGCUAACUACGUG
rnacentral:rRNA from 1 species